ensembl:snRNA U6 U6 spliceosomal RNA
GUGCAUGCUUGGGCAGCACGUGUAAUAGAAUCAGAAGGACGCAAAGAAGAUUAGCAUGGCCCCGUGCGAGGAUGACGUGCAGAUUGGUGAAGCGUUCCCUAUCACA